ensembl:misc_RNA RNase_MRP RNase MRP
GGGCGUUCUGAAGACCUGCACUCUAGGCCACGCACUGAGGACACUGGUUCCUCUCGGGCACCCAGCCCGCCUAGGGGAAAGUCCCCGGACCCCGGGCAGAGAGUGCCGCUCGCUCUAGCGCGCAGUGACCCGCCUCGCAAGCUCACAGUCUCUCCGCCGAGAAGCCCCCCGGGCUGAGCGGGUGGGCGCGGGAUGGGCUGCCCGUCACCCCGACAGUAACGCAGGUAGUGCGCGCGCCGCACCAACACAACGGGGCUCAUUCUCAGAACGCC